ACUCCCUAGGGAGGUGUUCCAGAAAUAUCCGAUAGGGAAGAGAUCCCGGGGAAGACCCAGGACACGUUGGAGGGAUUAUAUCUCUCGACUGUUUUUAAUUACAGAAGUUUAAUUUGAACCACUUUUCUGGUAAAACCUUGGAAACCUGGAUUUUCACUGAAGAAUCUUCAUUUGUUCUGAACUAGAAGCCGUUUGUGCUCUUGCGCCUGAGUGGUGCAAAAGGACAGUAAGGUUGCAUCAUAUAACUGCACGUAAGCUCGAUUUCAGUAUAACAGACCAGUCUGUUGAUGUUCUUAUGGGGUGGGAGGGAUUUUUAUUAGAGGUUGAGAAACUGGAUCUUCAGUCUGACAGGUUUUCAGGCCUAAACAGUUGAGACAUGUUUGAAGGCGUGUGUGUUUGUUUUGUUCUCUUACAGUUUCUGCGAUCGGCCCUCCUGCAAUGCAGAUUCUACUGAGACACAUCCUGUGCUGGGUCCUGGUGAAUUCUCUCACAGGAGAACUUUUCAGACUCUUCUUCCUGCCAGAAGCUCCUACCAGCACAAGUUCUUCUUCAAUGAGAUCAUCGAGUCACAAGCACUGAUUCUCUAUUAAUGUUCAAGCUCUGGAAAGAGAUUCAGAUCAGGGGUGGGAAUCUCCAGUCCAGGAAGGCCAGAUUCCUGCACAGCUCAGUGAUUUUUCUGCUUAAGUCUUUAGUUAUUUCCUAGGCUUGGUCAGUGGGCUAGAGUAGAGAAAUCAGCAAGCUACGCUGGACUCUUACCCUCAGUUCCUCACAUCUGGUGUUGAUGGUAAACCUGGAUCAACCUGGAUAGAACUGUAUAUAGAAGUACUGUUAGAAAGUCCUACUCAGUUGAAAUAUGGAGAUAAAGAUGUAUGUGCAUGAAAAGCAAAUACUAUUUACAUAUAAAGCACAAUUAAAGUACAUAAAAAAAAAAGUACAUGACUUAACAUACACAACACUGUCCACAGGCAACUGAGAACAUUAUAAUGUUGUUUAUUUUGUUCUGUUUUGCAUUUGUUUGAUCAGAAAAUCACUAAUAUUGGAACAAAUAUAAGUCCUAAUAAAAUAAGUAGUGAUGUAUUUAUAUGUCACUUAAUAUUUCACUUAAUAAUUUCAAUACAGCUCCUUGAGAAAACCCAGUAUUAGUGAGUCUCAUUCUGUACCUGGUUUGGUUUAAUAACAUUAAAUUAAAUUGAAUAAUAUUAAAUAAAGUCCAUCCAUAAUGGACAUUCCAUGCAUUCCACUUUUCUGCAUCACGGUAUGAAUCUUUAUCAAGAGAAACACAUAUAGAGACCACAGAAAUCCACAGCAGAUUCAGACAGACCCUCAGGGAGAUGUAAGAUUUAAUCAUCGGACAAAAUCUAUUAUUAUUUAGUGGUUUGACAGCUCCCUCUAGUGGUGGAAGUCACAGGAUCAUCCAAAGCAUAUACCUGACAUCAUAGCCUUGGUCAUUAUUUGCUAUGGGACCUUCACAUUAUGUGAAAUGUUUUAAGGUUUUUAUUUUUUUUUGUUUAUUUCUUUUCAUUUCUGAUAUUUAAAAUAAAAAAAAUUAAAAAUUCUAAUUCUUUUCUGGCAUUUUGCCACAGAAGAGCAAAGAGCUGCUGUUUCCCAUUUAUAUUUAUUUAGAUUUAUAAGUGUUCACUUUGAUGAAGCAAUUUUUUAUUAUUUCCAGUUUGCAAAUGUAUGUUAAAUGAGUUAAGUUAUAUUUUAAUCAUCACUUUAACACCAUUAUUGCAUAGUUACAUAAUGCAUAAAUAUGCUGUUCUGAACUUUAAAUAAAGCUACUCAAAGCAUCUUAA